UAAUCUGUUUGUGGCAAAUCCUCAUUUAGUUAUAGUAGACUUACAUUUAACUGCUUAGAAUCACCCAUUACUGUAUAAACAAUAACUUUUGCGAUUUUAAUUGAAG
rfam:Populus trichocarpa isolate Nisqually-1 chromosome 3, whole genome shotgun sequence.